rnacentral:ncRNA from 1 species
AUUCUGGUUGAUCCUGCCAGUAGUUAUAUGCUUGUCUCAAAGAUUAAGCCAUGCAUGUCUAAGUACACACGAAUUAAAAGUGAAACCGCAAAAGGCUCAUUAUAUCAGUUAUGGUUCCUUAGAUCGUUAACAGUUACUUGGAUAACUGUGGUAAUUCUAGAGCUAAUACAUGCAAUUAAAACAUGAACCUUAUGGGACAUGUGCUUUUAUUAGGCUAAAACCAAGCGAUCGCAAGAUCGUUAUAUUGGUUGAACUCUAGAUAACAUGCAGAUCGUAUGGUCUUGUACCGACGACAGAUCUUUCAAAUGUCUGCCCUAUCAACUUUUGAUGGUAGUAUCUAGGACUACCAUGGUUGCAACGGGUAACGGGGAAUCAGGGUUCGAUUCCGGAGAGGGAGCCUGAGAAACGGCUACCACAUCUAAGGAAGGCAGCAGGCGCGUAAAUUACCCACUCCCAGCUCGGGGAGGUAGUGACGAAAAAUAACAAUACAGGACUCAUAUCCGAGGCCCUGUAAUUGGAAUGAGUACACUUUAAAUCCUUUAACAAGGACCAAUUGGAGGGCAAGUCUGGUGCCAGCAGCCGCGGUAAUUCCAGCUCCAAUAGCGUAUAUUAAAGUUGUUGCGGUUAAAACGUUCGUAGUUGAACUUGUGCUUCAUACGGGUAGUACAACUUACAAUUGUGGUUAGUACUAUACCUUUAUGUAUGUAAGCGUAUUACCGGUGGAGUUCUUAUAUGUGAUAAAUACUUGUAUUUUUUCUAUGUCCUCCAAUUAAAACCUGCACUAUUGCUCUUAAACGAGUGGUUUUGGUGGGCGGGAAUAAUAAUUUGUCGAAUUAAAGUGCUUAAGCAGGCUUCA